rnacentral:misc_RNA from 1 species
AAGUCGUAACAAGGUUUCCGUAGGUGAACCUGCGGAAGGAUCAUUAAUGAAAUUCAAGGGCGCUCUUUUUAGAGGUCCGACUAAUCUCAUUUCACACUGUGCACAUAUACUUUAUACACCUUUUUAACGCGAAGUCUAUAAGAAUGUACAAGUCUCUUCGGAGCAUAAAACAAGUAAAA